rnacentral:rRNA from 1 species
AGGUGCUUGCAUGGCUGUCGUCAGCUCGUGUCGUAAGAUGUUGGGUUAAGUCCCGCAACGAGCGCAACCCUUGCCAUUAGUUGCUACGAAAGGGCACUCUAAUGGGACUGCCGGUGACAAACCGGAGAAAGGUGGGGAUGACGUCAAGUCCUCAUGGCCCUUAUAGGUGGGGCUACACACGUCAUACAAUGGCUGGUACAGAGGGUUGCCAACCCGCGAGGGGGAGCCAAUCCCAUAAAGCCAGUCGUAGUCCGGAUCGCAGUCUGCAACUCGACUGCGUGAAGUCGGAAUCGCUAGUAAUCGCGGAUCAGAUAGUCGCGGUGAAUACGUUCCCGGGUCUUGUACACACCGCCCGUCACACCAUGGGAGCGGGUUCUGCCAGAAGUAGUUAGCCUAACCGCAAGGGGGGCGAUUACCACGGCAGGGUUCGUGGCUGGGGUGAAGUCGUAACAAGGUAACCAAUC